AACUCAAGACGGACAUUACGCUGCUCUUCUUCAUGGUGAUUCUUGUCUCUAUGAAACAAUCAGAGGCUCUGGACAACGUAAACAAGGGACGAAUGAUGAACCAGAGGAGAGCGAUUACCAAAAUGUGACGAUGGAAACAGCUGCAGGUACUUCAAGUACAACAGACCAUGUAGUACAAUAUGAAUAAAACAUCUGCAUGGACAGAACCAGGGGAACGGAUGACGACAUGAAAAACCACAUCUUUGUCUUUUUGAGUAAUUAUUGUGUGAACUUCUUCUUGCCUGAUAUGAUAGUGUUGAAAAGAUCAUUUAACGGAAAUACAUCAUGUGUCUUUAUAGGUUUUACUUGGUGAAAAUAGUCUAGAUCAGGGGUCCCCAAACUUCGGCCCGCGGGGCGCAUACGGCCCACCUCCACAUUUGACCCGGCCCCCUGAACAAUACAGAGACGGAAAAAAGGCUAAUGGUUAUGGUAAAAUGGUUGUGUCAUACAAGUAAUUACGACUGCUCGACGGAUCGCGGUCCCUUUAAAUGUUCUGUUGUUGUUGAUGACGU